GAUGAACGCUAGCGGCAGGCUUAAUACAUGCAAGUCGUGGGGCAGCAUGAAGUAGCAAUACUUUGAUGGCGACCGGCAAACGGGUGCGGAACACGUACACAACCUUCCUUUUAGUGGGGAAUAGCCCAGAGAAAUUUGGAUUAAUACCCCGUAACAUAGCGAUGAGGCAUCUCAUUGCUAUUAUAGCUUCGGCGCUAGAUGAUGGGUGUGCGUAUGAUUAGAUAGUUGGCGAGGUAACGGCUCACCAAGUCUACGAUCAUUAGCUGAUGUGAGAGCAUGAUCAGCCACACGGGCACUGAGACACGGGCCCGACUCCUACGGGAGGCAGCAGUAAGGAAUAUUGGUCAAUGGACGAAAGUCUGAACCAGCCAUGCCGCGUGAAGGAUUAAGGUCCUCUGGAUUGUAAACUUCCUUUAUAUGGGACGAAAAAAGGUCUUUCUAGAUCACUUGACGGUACCAUAUGAAUAAGCACCGGCUAACUCCGUGCCAGCCGCCGCGGUAAUAC
rnacentral:rRNA from 1 species